rnacentral:rRNA from 1 species
GUCUUCCUACGGGGCGCAGCAGUGAGGAAUAUUGGUCAAUGGGCGGAAGCCUGAACCAGCCAAGUCGCGUGAGGGAAUAAGGCCCUACGGGUCGUAAACCUCUUUUGCCGGGGAGCGGGGGCCGGGACGCGUCCCGGCCCGGAGAGUACCCGGAGAAAAAGCAUCGGCUAACUCCGUGCCAGCAGCCGCGGUAAUACGGAGGAUGCGAGCGUUAUCCGGAUUUAUUGGGUUUAAAGGGUGCGUAGGCGGGCUUUUAAGUCAGCGGGAAAAAUUCGGGGCUCAACCCCGUCCGGCCGGUGAACCUG